UUGCUUCAGCAGCACAUACAGUACACUGGAACAAUACAGAGAUCAGCAUGGCCCCUAUGCAAGGAUGAAGUGUUGCAUAUUUUU
rnacentral:snRNA from 1 species